rnacentral:ncRNA from 1 species
GUCGUGAGACAGUUCGGUCCCUAUCCGUCGUGGGCGUUGGAAGUUUGAGAGGAGCUGUCCUUAGUACGAGAGGACCGGGAUGGACACACCGCUGGUGUACCAGUUGUUCCGCCAGGAGCAUCGCUGGGUAGCUACGUGUGGAAGGGAUAAGUGCUGAAAGCAUCUAAGCAUGAAGCCCCCCUCAAGAUGAGACUUCCCAUCUAUUCGAUAGAGUAAGAUCCCUCAGAGACGAUGAGGUAGAUAGGUUCGAGGUGGAAGCAUGGCGACAUGUGCAGCUGACGAAUACUAAUCGAUCGAGGACUUAUCUAU